AAAGACUCGAUUUGUAUACUUUUUUAUGAGAGUAUAUAAUUUUCUUGAUUAGAAAUCUAAGGGAAUCUCUACUUUCUAAUAAUUGUUAAUAUUGCCGUAACCAUAAAGUAAAAUUUUGAGCAAAACAUUCCCACCAUAUUUUUAAGGGUUUCCCGCUCUCUCUUUUCAUUAGAGACCCACUUUCUUUUUAAGUCAUAUCUACUAUUGUAUUCUUAUAAAACUCGCUGCUCAUGUCCACUUUCUUUUUAAGUCAUAUCUAAUAAAAAAACAAAUUCUCUAAUUUUAUUCUUAUGAAACUUGCUGCUAUACAACUCUUAUUUACUCUUCUCCUAAUUAAAUUCAGUUCAUCACAAUCAUAUUUUUUCAAUUUUAUUUUAUAUAAUUUUCUUGCUUUUUUUUUGUUUAGCUAUCUCCGAAUUUCGUUUUGAUUCAAUUUAACGAUUGAAUCUGCUCUUCUCGACUCAUUACAAACAAUUCCUCUACUAACCUAACUCUAGAAGCCUGCAAAACAAACCCAAAAUCAACAACCUUUCCUACAGAUAUCACAAAAUUACCCAAAUGGAUAAUCUUAUAAAAGGCUGUGUUAAUUUCACCUGGUGAUGAUCAAUUGUGGUGGCGGAAUUAUUCAAGGAGCUACACGGAUUACUGUACGGCAAGUGGUGCUGAACGGCACACUGUCUAUUGCGUUUUGCACCGUUAUGUAAUCGCUGGAGCCAUCUCGGGCCAGCGUCAGCACUCUACUCGCCAUUGAUUAUAUAAAGGUUGUUCCUUCCCUCAGCAAGCUGCUUCUAUUCCAUUGAGCAAAGAUAUGCACCGAUUGGCUUCACCAUUCUUGGAGAAUAGACUUGCUGAGGGAGCUGAAGUGGAAAUGGAAGUAAUUCCAAUGAAUGAUAACAAUCAUGAGCUGUCAAACUCAUUUAAGGUUGCGUCACCUUUGGUUGUGGAUGAAACUCUGCUGGAGAAAGUACUAGGGAUGGGCAUAUGUAGGCGGUUUUGGACCACGUAAAACUUUCCCUGAAUCUGUUAUCCUAUGCUAUGAGUCGGCCUAAGAAGUUAAGAACUCAUAGUUGCAAUAUGGAUUAUAUCUUCUGCUUCUGUCCUUGAUGUGGUGAAGUUUGAAGUUCAGCUUUACAGAACUCGGGAGGAGAAAUACUUGCUCGAUUUUCAUGCGCUUUCAAGAAUUGUUUAAUGGCAGUAAAUUUCAUCUCAUGAAGUCUCUACUAUUCUAUCCAACAAUUUUGGGUGUGCGUUACUUUUCAAAACUCAUGUGCUCAAUUACAUUUUAUAUGUGCUAAUUUCUUUUGUUGAAAUUGAACCCCGAUGUCUUAGUAUGGAUGAAUUUAGUUAAUUUUUUACCCUUUCA